UACGGGGGGGGCAAGCGUUGUUCGGAAUUACUGGGCGUAAAGGGCGCGUAGGUGGCCAACUAAGUCAGACGUGAAAUCCCUCGGCUUAACCGGGGAACUGCGGCUGAUACUGGAUGGCUUGAGUUUGGGAGAGGGACGCGGAAUUCCAGGUGUAGCGGUGAAAUGCGUAGAUAUCUGGAGGAACACCGGUGGCGAAGGCGGCGUCCUGGACCAAUACUGACGCUGAAGCGCGAAAGCCAGGGGAGCAAACGGG
rnacentral:rRNA from 1 species